AGUUGGUGGGGACUCUGCUCCAAGUCAUCCUCACUUCAAAAGCAGCCAUCACUGGACCAUUGCCAGUUUACCUGGGCAGAUCAAAGAAGAGGUGGUGAAUUAUGUAGCAACUCUUAAAGUCUCAACAGGAAGUGGCACCAUUAUUUCUACCCAUGUUUUACUUAACAAAGCAAGUCAGAUGGCCACAGCUCAUUUCAAAGCAGAGCUACAAAGAAUGAUCCAUGGGAAGAAGGAAGAUGCACAAGAACCCAACCAGAUGGUGGUCCACAGAAGACCUUUGAUGAUUAAAAUGGUCUGCCUACCAACACCCUAAGAAGGAUCCUGCAAAGAUAGUUUCACCAUUCCCCAGCAACCAUAUCAGGAAAAUUUCAAUUCUAAUAAAGAGAGAAGAAAACUGUCCCCCAGAAUGGAAUAUGUCGAAUGGGAGUGACCUUUGUCCUUCAAAGUCAAGGAAUGCACCACCAGGAGGCACAAGUCAAAAUGGAAGUCACAGGGCAUGACCUCAAUAACCGUGAUUGGAGUGGAUCAGAGGGCACUACCCUUGGGAUUGGAGACUAACGAAGAAAUCAUCUGCCCCAUGACCGCUUCUAUGCUCUUGGUCCAUUUCCUCUCCUGUAACAAGGAGAUUUGCAAAAGAAUGCAGGAACUUCAUCUCACAGAAGUCCACAAACUGGAGAAGGACUAUUCUAGAAAAA
rnacentral:lncRNA from 1 species